AUGCACGCUGGCGGCGUGCCUCAUACAUGCCAGUCGAGCGCACAGAUGAGGAGCUUGCUCCUCUGACGUUAGCGGCGGACGGGUGAGUAACACGUGGAUAACCUACCUAUAAGACUGGGAUAACUUCGGGAAACCGGAGCUAAUACCGGAUAAUAUAUUGAACCGCAUGGUUCAAUAGUGAAAGACGGUUUUGCUGUCACUUAUAGAUGGAUCCGCGCCGCAUUAGCUAGUUGGUAAGGUAACGGCUUACCAAGGCAACGAUGCGUAGCCGACCUGAGAGGGUGAUCGGCCACACUGGAACUGAGACACGGUCCAGACUCCUACGGGAGGCAGCAGUAGGGAAUCUUCCGCAAUGGGCGAAAGCCUGACGGAGCAACGCCGCGUGAGUGAUGAAGGUCUUCGGAUCGUAAAACUCUGUUAUUAGGGAAGAACAAAUGUGUAAGUAACUAUGCACGUCUUGACGGUACCUAAUCAGAAAGCCACGGCUAACUACGUG
rnacentral:rRNA from 1 species